rnacentral:misc_RNA from 1 species
UACCUAGCAACAGUAAUAUAGUCCACCA